GGUCUGACAGGGGACGCAGAUUCAGGUGAGGGGCGGCUGACAGGGGACGCAGAUCCAGGUGAGGGGCGUCUGACAGGGGACGCAGAUCCAGGGGAGGGACGUCUGACAGGGGACGCAGAUUCAGGGGAGGGACGUGGGUCUGAGAGAGGAGGCAGUCUGAGGGGAGCUUGGGCCUGCCAGGGGAGGUUGUUGUCAGAGGGGAGUGGCUGAGGAGGGCAUGAGUCUGGGAAGCAAGGCUCUGAGGAAGACAGGGAUGUAGAUCUGAGGGGAGAGGGCUUUUGAAGGGGCCAUGAGUGUGCAGGGGACAGAGAUGCGGCACUGAAAACUGAGGGUCCUUGGAGGAUGGUCUGGGGGCGUGUGUGAGAAAAGAAGACGCAAAGCACAGGUGGGCCUUGGAGGAAGGUCCUAAACAGGAGGAGGCCGAGCAGGCGGGCCGUUGGCAGAGGAAACAUUCCAUGCUGAGAAGAGGCAACGACUGUGGGUGAACUUCGACUGGAGUGUGUGAAAGUCUAGUGGGAGGUCAUCGUAGCCCAGGAGAGCGGGUUUGGGGAAGUUUUCGCUUUGCCGCAGGGAAGGAGAGGAGUCAGUUUGGGAUGGGAAGAGUAAGGGAGAAGGCAGGGAACCCAGGUCUGGAAUUAGAACAAGAAGAAAGGCUGGGAUGCUCCGGCUGAGCAGGGGCAUCAAGGACGGGAAAUCACAGUCUAAGAAAAGGGAUUCUGUGGGGCAGCUCAAGGUAGUCAAGAGUUUUUGGUCCUGAGUCAGUUUUCGCCCAAACACUUCUACAUUCAAGGAUGAGAAGCAGCUCAGACUUUCUUUCAUUCUUAAAAACAGCUACAUACAAAAAGGAAGUUUCCUGUCCUUUCCUUUUUCUUGUAAAACGCUGCUCUUUCUUGUAAUACUCGCUCUUUGGACUUCCUGUUUGGUGAAGUUAGUGAUCAGAGAACAAGAUAGACCAUGCAAGCUACGUUUGUCCUUUGUGUUCUGCGUGGAAAAAAUGGUUUUAAUAUUUUCCUGUCCAUCUCACUCAUUUAUUUACUUUGGAUUUGAAAUAGUGUCAUUUUUGCACGGCAUACUUGUGUGCCCUGAGACUGUUGUUCUCUACGAUGGAAGCAGGUUAAGUGUAUAUAUAUAAAUGAAUAUAUUCAAGAAAAAACGCAUACGCGCUUUUUGGCUAAGCAGCAUGGGGUGGUGGUUAGAAUAAUGGUAGAUGGGUGUCUGGUUGAAGAAAGGUGUGAGAGAGGAAGAGGAAGAUAGUGAAUGUAGUAAUCCCUCUUUGUAAAGAAACUAAAUGUUUAAAAAUUUGAUCUUCAUGUCUUUAAAUGGAUAGAUAUUCCCUUUAUAUCUUAAAACUUCUGAAACAAUAAAUACAUUGACUAUCAUUCAAGGUUCCUUUUGGUCUGAUUGAGUCAAAUCGGUCAUACUUAAAUGAAAGUCAUGUCCAUCUAUUUGGCUUCAUGUUUUGGAGAGAGGCUCAAAGUGGCAUAUUUAUAGUAUUUAUAUUGUACCUGGAGUAAAUUAUUAAGUUUUUGAGUUUUGGGGGUUUUUUUAAUAGCAUGCCUGCAACCAUUUUGAGAGCACUUUCAAAUAACCCUGCAAGAGUUGUAGGAUGAUGGAAAGAUCACUAGUGUUAGUCAGAAAACCUGCUCAGGCCCUGCCAUUUAUUAGUUGUAUAGCUUUGGCCAAGUCACUUAACCUCUCUGAACUUCACUUUCCUCAUCUAUUAAAUUGGAAUAAUAAUACAUGGAAGAGGGAUUAAAAUUUAAGUGAGAUAAUGUGUGAAAGAAUCUGGUAUUGUUUGCUGAUCUUAAUAUUGAUAGUUAUGCUCUUUGUUAUCUACAAUUGUAUACUGCACUUAAAAUUUACCACUUGGAUUGGAUAGAAAUGAAUAUAGUCUCGAUAUUUUUUAAAAAAUUAAAAAUGCGGGCUUCCCUGGUGGCGCAGUGGUUGAGAGUCCGCCUGCCAAUGCAGGGGACACGGGUUCGUGCCCCGGUCCGGGAAGAUCCCACAUGCCGCGGAGCGGCUGGGCCCGUGAGCCAUGGCCGCUGAGCCUGCGCAUCCGGAGCCUGUGCUCCGCAACGGGAGAGGCCACAACAGUGAGAGACCCGCAUACCGCAAAAAAAAAAAAAAAAAAAAAAAAUUAAAAAUGCAUGUAGACGAGAGAUUCCAAGGUAGUUUCAAUGGCUUGAACAGUCUGGGUAAAAGGAAAAUUUAAAUAGACAUGAUUGAAAAACAAUGUUGUCUGUAUUAUCCAGUUUAAAAGAUUGAUAUACUUGAAUUUAAGUAUGAUUUGAUAUGAUUAAAUCAGACUAAAUUUAAUCCUAAA